GUUUCAGUAGUUUAAAAGAAUAUAGUUUUGAAGUAGCUAAGGUAAUAAUAUAUUUUGAGAUG
rnacentral:tRNA from 1 species